GCGGGUGUAGUUCAAUGGUAGAACUGUAGCUUCCCAAGCUAGUGAGGCGGGUUCGACUCCCGCUACCCGCUCCA
rnacentral:tRNA from 1 species